UACGGAGGGUGCAAGCGUUGUCCGGAUUCAUUGGGCUUAAAGGGUGCGCAGGCGGGUCAUUAAGUUAGGGGUGAAAGACGGUUGCUCAACAAUCGCAGUGCCUUUGAUACUGGUGUUCUUGGGUAACCUUGAGGUAGGCGGAAUGGGUGGUGUAGCGGUGAAAUGCAUAGAUACCACCCAGAACUCCGAUUGCGAAGGCAGCCUACUGGAGGUCAACCGACGCUCAGGCACGAAAGCGUGGGGAUCAAACAGG
rnacentral:rRNA from 1 species